GGUGUGGCUCAGUGGUAGAGUGCUUGCCUUUCAUGCAUGAGGCCCGGGUUUCGAUUCCUCAGCACC
rnacentral:tRNA from 1 species